UAACAAGGUCUCCGUUGGUGAACCAGCGGAGGGAUCAUUACCGAGUUUACAACUCCCAAACCCCUGUGAACAUACCUUAAUGUUGCCUCGGCGGAUCAGCCCGCGCCCCGUAAAACGGGACGGCCCGCCAGAGGACCCAAACUCUAAUGUUUCUUAUUGUAACUUCUGAGUAAAACAAACAAAUAAAUCAAAACUUUCAACAACGGAUCUCUUGGUUCUGGCAUCGAUGAAGAACGCAGCAAAAUGCGAUAAGUAAUGUGAAUUGCAGAAUUCAGUGAAUCAUCGAAUCUUUGAACGCACAUUGCGCCCGCUGGUAUUCCGGCGGGCAUGCCUGUUCGAGCGUCAUUUCAACCCUCAAACCCCCGGGUUUGGUGUUGGGGAUCGGAUUUUUGUAAAAGAAUCCGCCCCCUAAAUCUAUUGGCGGUCUCGCUGCAGCCUCCAUUGCGUAGUAGCUAACACCUCGCAACUGGAACGCGGCGCGGCCAAGCCGUAAAACCCCAACUUCUGAAUGUUGACCUCGGAUCAGGUAGGAAUACCCGCUGAACUUAAGCAUAUAAAAGAGCAAAAGAAACCAACAGGGAUUGCCCUAGUAACGGCGAGUGAAGCGGCAACAGCUCAAAUUUGAAAUCUGGCUUUCGGGCCCGAGUUGUAAUUUGUAGAGGAUACUUUUGAUGCGGUGCCUUCCGAGUUCCCUGGAACGGGACGCCAUAGAGGGUGAGAGCCCCGUCUGGUUGGAUGCCAAAUCUCUGUAAAGUUCCUUCGACGAGUCGAGUAGUUUGGGAAUGCUGCUCUAAAUGGGAGGUAUAUGUCUUCUAAAGCUAAAUAUUGGCCAGAGACCGAUAGCGCACAAGUAGAGUGAUCGAAAGAUGAAAAGCACUUUGAAAAGAGAGUUAAAAAGUACGUGAAAUUGUUGAAAGGGAAGCGUUUAUGACCAGACUUGGGCUUGGAUAAUCAUCUGGGGUUCUCCCCAGUGCACUUUUCCAGCUCAGGCCAGCAUCAGUUUUCGCCGGGGGAUAAAGGCAGCAGGAAUGUGGCUCUCUCCGGGGAGUGUUAUAGCCUGCUGUGUAAUACCCUGGUGGGGACUGAGGUUCGCGCAUCUGCAAGGAUGCUGGCGUAAGACGCCAUAAACGACCCGUCUUAACCCGGCGCAAA
rnacentral:rRNA from 1 species